AUUGAACGCUGGCGGCAUGCCUUACACAUGCAAGUCGAACGGUAACGCGGGGCAACCUGGCGACGAGUGGCGAACGGGUGAGUAAUGCAUCGGAACGUGCCCAGUAGUGGGGGAUAACUGCUCGAAAGAGCAGCUAAUACCGCAUACGACCUGAGGGUGAAAGCGGGGGAUCGCAAGACCUCGCGCUAUUGGAGCGGCCGAUGUCAGAUUAGGUAGUUGGUGGGGUAAAGGCCCACCAAGCCAACGAUCGGUAGCUGGUCUGAGAGGACGACCAGCCACACUGGCACUGAGAAACGGCCCAGACUCGUACGGGAGGAAGCAGUGGGGAAUUUUGGACAAUGGACGCAAGUCUGAUCCAGCCAUGCCGCGUGCGGGAAGAAGGCCUUCGGGUUGUAAACCGCUUUUGUCAGGGAAGAAACGCUCUGGGUUAAUACCUCGGGGUAAUGACGGUACCUGAAGAAUAAGCACCGGCUAACUACGUGCCAGCCGCCGCCGUAACAC
rnacentral:rRNA from 1 species